rnacentral:lncRNA from 1 species
UCCUGUCUAAUACUACAUCCUUGCUACAGGAGUGAUUACCUGACCCAGGUAUGGCCAAUACUAAUAUCUCACUCCUUUGAACACAGUGAUUGGUUCAGGGGUGAGCAAUUAUAAACAAAGCCAAUAAGAAUCAUUGCUUGGAGUUGAUACACUGAUUUGAGAAGGUGGCAGCUUUUUUAGCUAGGGUGGGAUUGCUAAACAAUGACACACAUAGCCUGAGAUUGCAGAUAAAGAUCUUCCCUUGCCAAUUGGGGAGCUUGAAGCAGUAGGAGAGGAUAUGGUUGAAACAAAGAAGGAAGCAGAGCUGGAAAAGGGAGAAGGGGAAAAGAGGAGGGUGGGCUUCAGGGAAAAGGCCACAUUCGUUGGGAACUGUGUAGUGUUUGAAGCUGGAACCCACUCUGAGCUUCCCAGUUAUAUGAACCAAUCCAUUUUAUUUUGUUUUGGCUCUUGGGAAUUGGAUUAUUGUCACUUGCAAUUAAUUGCAUGAGUCCUGAUAAACACUUCAUUUUUGGAAACCCUGUAGUAUCUGCCACAAUGCCAUGGUAUUUUGCAUGUCAGUAAAUGUUUUAACUCAGUGAAAGCAUAGAUGAAUGUAUCUUUGUGCAUCAUUGAGAGGUACAAGUGCCAUCACAUAAUUUGGUGAAAAUAAUUAUUGUUAUUUACUUGCUUCUUUAACUCAACUCUUUUUUAAAAAAAUUUCCAUUUCUUUUGUGUAACAUUGGAUCCUCACAGUAUGGCUGUUUUUUUUUUUUUUUUUUUUUUUUUUUAAUAACCACACCUGCAGCGUAUUGGAAGUUCCUAGUCCAGUUCCUAGUCCAGGGAUUGAAUCUGAGCUGCAGCUGCAACCUAUGCUGCAAGCUCUGGCAGUGCUGGAUCCUUUUAACCCACUAUGCCAGGCCGGGGAAUCAAACCCACACCUCUGCAGCGACUGGAGCUGCUGCUGUCGGAUUCUUAACCCACUGCGCCACAGGAGGAACUUAUAACUUAAUUCUUAAUUAAUUAAUGUACCCAAGGGAAAUAGUAUAUCUCUAUAUAUCUCAAGCUAUUUUCAAUCACUUUUUAAAUCCAUAUAGAUUUAACUUUUAUGUGAUCCCCCACCCCCGCUGCCAAAUGUCUGUCAUGCCAUUUUCCAGUGCUCAUGAAAUUUUCCUAUUAGAGAAAAUAUUGUAAGUGGUUAUGAGAUUCUCAGACAUCUGUGCCAAGUAUUAUUUAACCCAGAUUGUUUAUGGCUCUAAUUUAAUGGGAGGAUAAAUGCUCUUCAAGUGUUUGGACUUCUAGUCCCCAUAAUACCUUUUAUUAAUUUUAUGACCAUGGCCAAGUGUUCUUUGAAGCUACUGGUGCAGAAUGGAGAAGAAAUAAAGUUUAACCACUCAUUUUUGCAGCUAUGGUGCUAUAAAGUUGGAAGAGAGUUUAGAAUCCAUCAAAUUCAAUUCUUUCACAUCUGUGAAUACCCUUUAUAACUGUAUUGUCCAAUGUGGGAACCACUAGCCACAUGUGGCUAUUAAACUUAAACAAAAUUUGAAAUUUAACUUUCAUUACGAGGUGCAUUUCCAGUGCUCAAUAGUCACAUGAGGCUAAUGUAAGUAUUUGAAAUAGUAUGGAUGUAGAAUAUUUCCAUCAUUGCAGAAAGUUCUGUUAUAUCCCUAUUGAAUGAUCAUCCAGCCUUAGCUUAGAUUCUUUUCAAUGAAUGUUAUUCACAGUUGCAUUUGGGGUCAGAUGUAAUUGUUAGGUUGAGUUUUCUUCCAUAUAUUUAUUCUAGAUAUUUUACAUAUAUGAAAAUAUUUAUUCUCUAUAGGAAGAAUUUUAUUAUAAUACCUGUUCAAAAAUUUUGUUAGUGAUAAGGAUAUUCUGAACUGAAAUAGUAUAACUAACCUGAAAUAGAAUAAGAAAGUUAACUCAUUUUCUUAAAGAAUCUCAUUUAUGCCUAAAUGUAACUAUCUCUAUAAUAGUAUUUUAUUUUUUCAAAAUUCAAAAGAAAAAGAAACUAUAGAAAUGCUUUUAUACUUCACAAAAAUACUGAACAUAUACCAAACCUUUUAUUUUAUUAUUUUAUGUUUCUAUGAGCUAAACUUAAUGCAAUUAUGUGAUUAAGAGCUUUGUAUCUCACUCCUUUCUGUAUGUAAUCAUUUCCUAUUAAAUACAAAUAUUUAACAUUUCAUGAAAAUCCCCUGGCGCAUUUCCACAAUGACUGAAAGGUGGAAAUCUUUAAUUAGUCUUCAAGUUUUUAGAGGAAGUAAGAAUGGAGAAUUCAGAAAAACCCUCAAAUGACUCACUUAAAAGGAACAAAAAUAGGUGAGGGCAACAGCUCAUCUAAGAGAGUAUUGCUUAUAAGAAUUUAAUUCAUACUUGUUUUAUUAAUACCAACAAUUUAAUGAGCUUUCACAGCUUUCAUAUAAAACUCUAUUAAGUACAAUGUGAACUGAUUGUGCUUUCUAUAAAUAAUAAUAAUCUUAUGUCAUCAAGAAAACUGUCAAUGCUUCUGUUUUAGCUACUUUAAAAAGUGGGAAAAGUCGUCAAUGUUUCUAGAACAAUUUCUAUAAAAAUAGGGUAAGAAUACAAAUGUUUGGUACUCAAAAUUUAAAUCUAUUGUUUGAGGAGUUAAGGUGGGUAAAUUAGUUAGGAUUAGGUUAGUGAAGUAUAACUGAGAACACUUGUAAUAGCUAAUUAAAAAAAGAGGAAUAUAUUUUCUCUUACAUAAUAGAUAGGUUUACUCUCCAAAACAGGAAUUAUGGGUCUAUGGUUACCAGAAACCCAGAUUUUCUGCUCUGUAAUUCUUAAAUUAUAAUUUUUUUUAACCAAGUAUACCUCCUCAUGUUUACAAGAAAGGCUGCUGCAGCUCCAGUCAUCACAUCUGCAUCCCAAGCAUCAGUUGUAAAUAAACUGCAAAGGAGAAAGGGCUCCUGAGAGUUAAGGUAGCCCUCGUCUAAGAGGUAUGCAGCUGACAACUUCUACUGUUAUCUUCUGGUCAUCUCUAAAGGAGCUAGGAAAUGCAGGGUUUUUUGGUUUUGUUCUUUUCUAUCUAGACACAUUAUUGCCACCACUCAAUAUAGGAGUAUUACCAAAAGGGACAAUGAAUAUCAAGUAAGUAGCUAGUAGUCUUUGUCAGAGCAGCUGGAUUAUCCCUUCUCUGUGCUAUGCUUCUGUUAUUGGAUUGGUUGCAUAGUAUCUAUUUAUUUAUAUAGGAGACAGAGGUGUGCUUUGGUAAAAAGCAUAGACUAUAAUUACAGUGAUCUUAUGUCUCAGUUUGCCCUAGAUAGUUCUGGUAUGUAGCUGUCGUAUCAAUAUAGUUAUUAUCACUAUCCCCAUUGCUCUCUAAAGUAUUACUCUCGAAAGUCACAUUUGGACAAUAAAUAAUAUAGUUACUUUAGCUAUAAUUGACAAUGAAACAUCUCUGACACUUCCUAGUUCUGUGACCUUAGCAAAUUACAUGACUUCUCUAAACUCACUGUAUUAGUUAUCUGUUGCUAAAUGCAAGUCAUCCCCAAAAUGUAUUGGUUCAUAGCAACACAUUUACUACUUCACAGUUUCUAUGGGUUAGUAAUUAAACCACAGAUUAGGAGUUCCCAUCGGGGCGCAAUGGUUAACGAAUCCGACUAGGAACCAUGAGGUCAAGGGAUCGGUCCCUGCCCUUGCUCAGUGGGUUAACGAUCCGGCGUUGCCAUGAGCUGUGGUGUAGGUUGCAGACUCGGCUCGGAUCCCACGUUGCUGUGGCUCUGGCGUAGGCCGGUGGCUACAGCUCCAAUUCGACCCCUAGCCUGGGAACCUCCAUAUGCCGCGGGAGCAGCCGAAGAAAUGGCAAAAAGACCUAAAUAAAUAAAUAAAUAAAUAAAUAAAUAAAUAAAUAAACCAACAACAGAUUAGAUGGAUAGUUUCUGGCUCAGGGUUUCUCUUAAGGUUAGAUAUUGGCAGGGCUGCUGGCAACAGAAGGGCUGACUGGGAGGAAGGAGCCACUUUGAAGAUAGCUCACUCACAUGGCUUUGGGAGGAGGCCUCAGGUUCUCGCACCGUAGGCUUCUCCACAGGGCAACUUGUAAGUUCCUAGCCCAGGCUCUUGGCUUCCCAUCUGGGAAAGCAAAACGAUGACUUUUUUUUUUCCCAACCACAGCUGUGGUAUGCAGAAUUGCCUAGGCCAGGGAUCGAACCUGUGACACAGCUGUAACCAGAGCCACAGAAGUGACAACACUAAAUCCCUAACCCACUGAGCCACAAGGGAACUCCAAAAGGACACCUUUUAUGGCCUAGUCAACAAAGUUGUAAAGUCAAUUAUUUUUUAUUCUAUUCAUGGAAAGCAAUUCACAAGAUCCAGCCCACACUCAAGGGGGGACAAAUUAGGCUCCACCUAUUGAAGGGAGCAUACUUUAACAUCACCAUACUUAGUGUUUUCAUCUGCAAAAUGGAGUAAAAAUUACCCAUAUGCAGUAAUUGUAUUGUCAUGAAGAGGUGUAACCCAUAUAAAGCAUUUUAAUAGAGCACUUUGCACAGAGUAUGUCCCUUAAUAAAUGUUAACUAAUCUUAUUUACUUAAGUAUUUGCCUAAAUAAACUGUAGGUUCCUGGCAGGGUUCAUGUUUUUGAUUUGUUUUGGUAGUUCAAGCUCCAGUUGCACCGUUGGGCAUAUAGGGGGCAAUUAAUAAAUAUUUGAGGAAUAAAUGAAUGAUUAGAAAUAUUUAAUAAGACUAGUUAGGUGAAGUGUUUCUCUAAGUGGAAAAAAUGCAAUAACCAUGUGAAUAAAUUUAUGUUUUAUUUGUGUUAAAAAUCAGAUUUUCAGAGUUCUUGUUGUGGUUCAGUGAGUUAAGAACCAGACUUAUAUCCAUGAGGAUGCAGGUUCCAGCUCUGGCCCCACUCAGUGGGUUAAGGAUCCAGCAUUGCUGCAAGCUGUGGUGUAGGUCACAGAUGCCACUUGGAUCCCACACGGCAGUGGCUGUGCUGUAGGCCAGCAGCUGCAGUUCUAACUGGACCCCUAACCUGGGAACUUCCAUAUGCUGUAGGUGUGACUGAAAAGAAAAAAAAAAAA